GGAAUUAGAGAGACGAUUGUAGAGCGGCAUCGUUGUUGUCCCUGUUGCUUUAUUCUUUUCUUACUCAAGUGGUUACUUUACCUUCAUCAGUCCAUCUUCACACUUUUGAUUGUCUCAGCUUAGCUUGCAGUUCCAGCUUAGAUUUGUCAGUUUUAUGGGUUAGCCAGAUUGUUCAAAUAUUUGUUGUCCAAUUUAUUUAUAAUCUAACUGUGCAAAUGUUUGGUUGAUUCACAAUUUUCUCAUCCUUUCACCGCUUGUGUUUAUCAGGUCUGGAGAUAUGAACCAAUCACCCAGAUACCUUUACUAGGCUGAUGCAUAUGGAGCUUGCAAUCAGAUCCAAAAUAUGGAGCUGUCUAACAAAAGCAGGUACUACCACAUCUUAGGCUUCAAAAAUUUAAGAUACAUAUGGACGUGGGAGUCCACUGAUAUGUAUGUCUUUCAAAUACACUUUGAAUGGUCCAGGAACAAGAUUUUUGUCUGAAGAGUGUGUUUUAUGUCCAUAUACAUUAGUUAGACAUAUUUUAAUUCUAGAUACAUCCUUUGUUAUCUAUUUUGAUGACAAGUAUUUUCGGACGGAGGGAGUAUGUUAUUAGAGGAUAUCUUAUUGCGUAUUUAUUUGGUUAAUACUGGGGGGGUAGCUACUCUCGCCCCCCUUUCUCUCUGAAUGCACCGAAAGGAGUGCCAUAUAAUUGUAAUUACUGAUUUUACCUUUCACGGUAAUGAGUUAUGAGUCAUGAAAGUAGAAAAUUAUUUUACAAGGUCAGGGCAGUGCCACAAUAUGAACCAAUGUAUCUGGACUUGCUACCAGGUUUAGACGACUUGAAGUGAGGAUGAAUAAUGCACAUUUUAAACAUAUGGUGAUCCGAACUAUCAGUAUGUUCCCUGCUGCUACUGAAUAGAUGUUUUUCUAGCUUAUAACAAUUUGAAUUAUCGAUCAACAUGUACUUGCCUGCCCAGUCGUUGUUUGUAUAAUUAC
rnacentral:lncRNA from 1 species